rnacentral:rRNA from 1 species
CCUACGGGUGGCUGCAGUCGAGAAUCUUCGGCAAUGCGCGCAAGCGUGACCGAGCGACGCCGCGUGCGGGAUGAAGGCCCUUGGGUUGUAAACCGCUGUCAGAGGGGAGGAAAUCGCGUGGGGUUCUCCCCACGUGUUGACCGAGCCUCAGAGGAAGCACGGGCUAAGUUCGUGCCAGCAGCCGCGGUAAUACGAACUGUGCGAACGUUACUCGGAAUCACUGGGCUUAAAGGGUGCGUAGGCGGCCCUUCAAGUCGGGUGUGAAAGUCCCCGGCCUAACCGGGGAAUUGCGCCCGAAACUAGAGGGCUUGAGUGCGCUAGGGGUGUGCGGAACUUCCGGUGGAGCGGUGAAAUGUGUUGAUAUCGGAAGGAACGCCGGUGGCGAAAGCGGCACACUGGGGCGUAACUGACGCUGAGGCACGAAAGCCAGGGGAGCGAAC